CGACCGCUGGCGGCGUGCUUAACACAUGCAAGUCGAACGGUGAAGCGCCUUCCUUUUUGGUGGGUGUGGAUGCGUGGCGAACGGGUGGGUAACACGUGAGUAACCUGCCCCCUUCUUCUGGAUAACCGCAUGAAAGUGUGGCUAAUGCGGGAUAUUCUGGGUCUGUCGCAUGAUGGGUCUGGGAAAGAUAUUGUUUCGGUGGGGGAUGGGCUCGCGGCCUAUCAGCUUGUUGGUGGGGUGAUGGCCUACCAAGGCGGUGACGGGUAGCCGGCCUGAGAGGGUGGACGGUCACACUGGGACUGAGACACGGACAAGACUCCUACGGGAGGCAGCAGUGGGGAAUAUUGCACAAUGGGCGCAAGACUGAUGCAGCGACGCCGCGUGAGGGAUGGAGGCCUGCGGGUUGUGAACCUCUUUCGCCAGUGAAGCAGGCCUGCCUCGUUUGUGGGUGGGUUGACGGUAGCUGGAUAAGAAGCGCCGGCUAACUACGUG
rnacentral:rRNA from 1 species